GGGGUCGGGAUCCCGGAGCUGCAGCUUGGCUCCAAGUUGUUUCGCCUGAUGCGCGCUGUUAGACUAUCGGUGGAGUUCCGGUGCGUGAGGACGCUUGCGCUGGAGAUGGCGGAGCCGCAGGUGAAGCCUGUGGCGGACUUCCUCGGUGCUUCCCCUGCUUGGAGAUGCUCUAUGUCACGUCUCACAUGGUUGUUCCCCAGAGCAUGGAAAUAUUGAAUUAUGAGAUGGAUAAUCACACAGAGUGAGAUUAUGAAAGGUUACAGAGGGAGAAAGCAUGAGCUCCAGCUAGCCAUGUUACUUGUUCGUAGUGCAAGAGUUCUACGGGUUAUGAAAUUCCUGUGUGAGAAUGACUGCAACCCUUCAUGGUUGACAAACCAAAAAGGCGAUUACUGUUGGACAACAGGGCAUCAUUAGGGGCUCAAUUUGUUUUUCAGAAGUUCACCAAGAGCUCAUCAGGUUUCUAAAGCAAGCAAUGAUGUAGCUUAUUUAGAAACCAGUGACAUAUGAUUGUUGCAGGUUGAGAAAGACUUGAAUGGUUCAGCAACAGAAUCAAUUGCUGCUGACAAAAAGCUUGGCAUUUUUGAUAAAAUAUUUUCUGCAUACCAUGAUGCUCGGAGCUGCAUCUGCAAUGACCUGGCUUCUGCUGGCAAUGCUGAGAAUAUAAGAGAUGACUUGAAUGGUCUUGACAAGGCUGUUAGUGCUGUUUUAGGAUUGAGGACAAUAGAAUGCAACCAGUUACUUGCUAGCAUUGCUAAAAGUAAAUUUACAAAGCAACGAGAUGAGAAAAAUGAGACAAACACAAAGCCAGAGAAGAACCUGUUCAGCUAUAUGAUCUGCUUAUUCAGAAUACAACGGACUUGAUAGAUUUUGUUAGCUCCGGCAGAAAUAAAAAUAAAAAUAAAAAAAGAACUCUUUUAUUCAUGACUAUGAGCUGAAAGGCUUGGCUUUCAGAGCUGCGAGAUGUUUCUUUUUGGUGAAGUCAUAUAGUUCUGCUGGCAAAAGGGCCGAAGCAUUUGCAUUAUUCUGUCAUGCCCAAACUCUCAAUGAUUUCGGGCUGCAGCAGCUUGCAAACAGUCCUGACAAGGUUUUGACACUGAACCGACAGCAUGAGCUCCAGAUAGCCAUGUUUCUUGUUCGUAGUGCAAGAGUUCUACGGGUUAUGAAAUUCUUGUGUGAGAAUGACUGCAACCCUUCAUGGUUGACAAACCAAAAAAGGCGAUUACUGUUGGACAAUAGGGCAUCAUUAGGGGCUCAAUUUGUUUUUCAGAAGUUCACCAAGAGCUGCAUCAGGUUUCUAAAGCAAGCGACAUGUACUUGCUUGCUUUAGAAACCUCUGAUGUACUUGCUUGCUUUAGAAAUCUGAUGUAGCUUAUGUCGCUUGCUUUAGAAACCUCUGAUGUACUUGCUUGCUUUAGAAAUCUGAUGUAGCUUAUUUAGAAACCAGUGACAUAUGAUUGUUGGUAUGCAUAUAAAUGAAUAAGGCUUGCCUGUUAAUAAGCAGAUGAAAAUUUUUUAUA